rnacentral:rRNA from 1 species
AUUGAACGCUGGCGGCAGGCCUAACACACGCAAGUCGAACGAGUGGCGGACGGGUGAGUAAUGUCUGGGAAACUGCCUGAUGGUGGGGGAUAACUACUGGAAACGGUAGCUAAUACCGCAUACCAUCAGCUGUGCCCAGAUGGGAUUAGCCAUUAGGUGGGGUAAUGGCUCACCUAGGCGCCGAUCCCUAGCUGGUCUGAGAGGAUGACCAGCCACACGGGAACUGGGACCAGGUCCAGAUGCCUACGGGAGGCAGCAGUGGGGAAUAUUGCGCAAUGGGCGCAAGCCUGAUGCAGCCAUGCCGCGUGUAUGAAGAAGGCCUUCGGGUGGUAAAGUACUUUAAGUUGGGAGGCGUUACCAGCAGAAUAAGCACCGGCUAACUUCGUGCCAGCCGCCGCGGUAAUAC